rnacentral:hammerhead_ribozyme from 1 species
AACUGGUCGGGAGCUAUUAUCGUUUCCCUGAUGAGUCUAUGGUAGGGCGAAACUAGUU